CGGCGGUUCAAAAGGGGCAGAGGCUUCUUAAAGGCUGAAAAUGGAAGAGGAGCGGAGGCGUGGGAGUUCCUGGAGGAGGGAAGAGUGCAAUGAGAGGAAGAAGGCAGAGCGCAGGGAGAAGGAGUCUCAGGAAAUACUUUAUUUGAAAGUCAUAUUUAAGUGAGACCCUGAAGGGUACAUGGGAUUUGACAGGGGAAUGAAGAGGCUUUCAGAUGGAACAUACAGCCAGACCAAAACCUUCAAGUGAAAAACAUCUUGACAUGUUCAAGGAACUGAAAAGAGACACAUGUGGCUGGGAUAGAGUGUGAGAGGUGAUAGUAUUAGAAGAUGGAGUGCUUGGGAGGUGCUUGAGCCCCAAGAGUGGAGCCCUCACUAAUGGGAUCAGUGCUUUUUAUAAAAGAGGCUUCAGUGAGUUCCCUCCCCCUUCCACCAUGGGAGGAUCCAAUGAGAAGUCUGCAGCCUGAAAGAGGACCUUCACCUACCUGUGCUGGCACCUCCGUCUCAGACUUGCAGCCUCCAGAACGCUCCCUUGCACCUGUGGCCUGGACAUGUGACCUGGGCCUGGCCUUUCAGAAGUGCACACACCAGACUUCGAGUCAGUACCUAGAGAUGCAAAGAAGCUGAGAGCGAGGCACAUCUUUUUGGCAAUAACAGCCAAGGGAAUGAAGGAUUAUGAGUCUGUGGGCGAGAGUUCAAUGCUGACUGUGCAAACUAUGAGGUCUGGUUCCUCAUCUUAAAAUGAAGUAACAUUUGUGUCAACUCCUUCUUGGCACUUCUGGAAGGUCACGGCAUAAUCAAUUAGGUAUCUGUAAGGUGGGCUUCUUUGAAGAAGACUUGCAACUUUAAAAGAUGUCUCAAUCACUUCAAAUUCCUUUUGAAAGAAGGCAAAGCAUAAAAAGUAGAUGAACGCCCACCCACAUUCCUUGUUGGUAUAGAUCCUGGAUCUCAGGCUUCAGACUAUGGCGCAAGAGGAAUAAAAUGUCUUCCUGUCUUCUUUCUGGGUUGUUCUGCCUAAUGAACCAAAGCAUGGGUAAGGAUUUGAUUUUCUUUAUCCAGUUUCAUAAGCCACAGCAUUAUGAGAAAUUUCUUCCAGAUUUUGGGAAUAGCAUAUCUGUUACCUUUAUUCUUAGCUCCUUUUUUAGCUAUAAUGUGUGAACAUUCAUCAGAAUAUUUUUUGAGGGAACAUUAGGAGGAUCUACAGUCAGAGAUACCAUUUUAAACUCCCCCUUUACUUUACUUUUUCUCUUUUAAAUUAUAAGCCUCAAUAAAGAAGGCUAGGGAACAUUGGCAAAGUUGUCACCAUGCAAAACAUCAUGUCAUGUUAUUAUUUCUAAAAUUGUGUCAUUUUUUGUUUCCUUUCUCCUAUUAUAUGGGACAGUCUGCCUAUUUCUAGAGACAUCUAGGUCAUCUAGAGCUAUCUUAUGUGGCCAAUGUAGUCAUAAUUAACAAAUUAUAGAAUUGAAAAUUUUUCAUUUUUAUUUAUAUUUCUUUAGUUCCUCUAACUCUGUUCUUAACAAUAAGUUAGUAUUUAAUGGCCUUGUAGUAUAGAAACUCAGUUCUAUGACUAGCUACAUAAUUUGUAGGGUCCAUUGCAAAAUGACACUAUAAGAACCCUUGUUUAGAAAUUUUAACAAUUUCAAGAUGGCAACAGUAAAGCAUUAAACCAAGCCCUUCUAAACACAGGGCGCUGUACAGCUGUAUGGGCCUCAUUUUCCUAAAUUAUGUUCAAUGCACUAAAAUAUUUUAAUGUAUCCUUUCUCAUUAUUAAGCAAGAACUUAUGUGACAAAAGGCCAAAAGGAAGCUUUUUGCCAUAUGAAAGGCAUUAAUUUGUUCAUUCAAUUCCUUUAGAAAAAAAAAAAAAAACAGAAAAAAAAAUCCUAAAACUUUUUAUCUGGUAUUUAAUGUUAGGAACAAUGUCUCUUCCCAAAACAAAUGCAUCUUUCAUUAUUCAUUCCUUCACUUAAAAUACUUACAGGGUAGCUACUCUCUGAAAGCACUGUUCUAGGUGCAGGUUCCCUGUGGUGCAGGUUCCCUCCCUGGCCUGGGAACUUCCAUAUGCCGAAGGCAUGACCAAAAAUAAAUAAAUAAAUAAAUUUUAAAAGUCUCUUCUUUUUAAAAAACCCACUUAAGUCUCUCAAUACAUUAUAUCCUUAUCCCAGACACCACUCUUACCUUUAGUUAAACUUUCAAAAACCUACAGUUUGAGGCUUUCUACCCACAAAUAACCAGCCCAGCUCAACUCUUUGAAAUUUAAAGUAACUCUUAAUGGCUUAAAAUAUCUCAAAAGAUAAAGAAAACACUGAGUCAGUAGAGAAUGACAAGAGAGUGAAUAGCUGGUGAGUGUUCCCUCUUUCAGACAAUGAAAAGUACAAAUUAUUGAGAUAGUUCCUUAAAUUACCACCAUAAAAUCCUUAGGGGUAGAGAUAAGGGCCAAUCAGGAGAGCUUUCAAAACUGGGGUUCAUUGGGUUACAGUUUUUCUUAGCUCAGGCUGCCACAACAAAAUAGCAGACUAAGUGAUUUAAACGGCAGACAUUUAUUUUUCUCCAACUCUGGAGGCUGGGAAGUCCAAUAUCAAAGUGUUAGCAAGGUCAGUUUCAUUCUGAGAUCUCUUCUCUUUGCUUGUAGGCAGCCACCAUCUCACCAUGCGCUCACAUGACCUCUUUUUGUGUGCGUGCACACAUAUGUACACAGAGAGAGAAAGAGAGAGGGACUCUCCAGUGUUUCUUCUUAUAAGGUAACUAAUCCCUUCAAGAGGGCCCCACCCUCAUGACCUCAUUUCAACCUAAUUACCUCCCAUAGACAUCUGCUCUGAGUACCAUCACACUGCUGGUAAGGGUUUCAACUUAUGAAUGGAGGAGGGGGGCAAGCCUCAGCCCAUAGCCCCUUUGUUCAGUCUGAUCUUUCAACCCUAUACAUAGAAGAUAAAGAAGGGAACUUUGUUUAUAAAGUGCUUAUUCUAGUCUGACACUAAGUUAAGGGCUUCAGUAUACUAUUUCAUUUGAUAGAAUAAACCACACUGGGAGGCUCGGAGGGGUGAAAUCACUUCCUCCAAGUCACAGAACUAGUAAACUUUGUAGAUUCAAACCCUGUCCUAUUUGACCCCAAUGCUAUAGACUUUCUGCUAGCCAUUGGGGCCUUUCUUAAAUUUUAAUAUUUACUGGUUAGCUUGUUUAAGAAAGAUUGAGACCAAAGAAUGCAGGCUCACACCUCCAAGGUCACAUUAAACCACUUCGAAUCAGAGAGUCAAUGAUUUUAUUUCAUAGAAGGAGCUAUAGUUGGUCAAAAAGCAUAUAUUUGUGUUUGCUCUCUAAUCCAUGAAUGAGUUCAAGAAAUUGAUUUUUUUAAAAUUGCUUAGUUAACAUGAAGUCAGAGCAAAGGGAUUUAGAUGGUCUGCGAAAGUAUUUAUUUCAAUGCUAGCUAUUGUUUAGUGUUCUUAUUCUGUUGACCACAUGAUUUUUCAUGUACCUUCACAUCAAUAUCAUCUAGCUUAGGGAGGUAACAACUAUAUCAAUCUAAAUUCUUCAUAUAGCCAAUUGUAGCAGCAAAAAGGAAGACGAAAAAGAAAAAGAAGCUCAAUAACUGUUUGUUCAUCUCCUUGCCAUAUCAUUCAGUACACCUUCAAAUAUUUUGCUGCAGAGCCAGGUUUCAGACUUCCUUUACUUUGAAACCUGUGGAUCUAGCCUCAAAAAUCAUCACCCCUCUCCCACAUUGACUCAGUACUUAGCACUUCAUUGCAGCUCCCCAUUCCCCCACCCCAUAGUUCUCCAGAGGUUGACAGUUUUUUUCUGUUAAGGGCCAGGUUGGAAACACUUUCAACUUUGCAGACAUUUUUGAUCUCUUUCGCAACUCUUCAACUCUGCCAUUGUAACAUGAAAGCAGCCACAGGCAAUAUGUAUGUGAAUGAGUGUGGCUGUGUGCCAGUAAAAUUGUAUUCACCAAAAAAAAUGGUGGCAGCCCAGAUAUAGUCUGCUAACAGUAGUUUCCCACUCCUGCACAAGUAAAUAAUAUAGUUUUUCCUAAAAUUGGUAUGAUGAAUGGAGGAACGUUCAUUUACACCACAAAUUUCAUUAAAAAACUCAGUUAAAGCCCCACUGGAAUUCUCAUUUUUUUUUACCCCAAAGUCUGUUUCUGGCCUCUAGUAGCUCCAACUGUCUUCUCUCUUUCCUGUUCCAGUACAGAUCUUUUCAAGGCCCCAGUAUUCUCCAGAGCAUUUCAAUUCUUCCUCAAAGUUCACAAAUCCCAUUAAACAGUUACCAUAUCCAUUGUCCUUUAAAAACAGUAUAAGUGAGUGACUAUUGUUAUUAGAAUGUGUCCCUUGAAGGUCUCGCUCCACUCCAACAUUGCAUUAUGUCCAAUAAUCACGUGAAAAAGUAUUCUUUAUCAUUAAUCAUCAGAGGACCACAAAUUAAAAACUCAAUCAAAUAUCAUUAUACACUCAGUAGAAUGACUAACAUUUUGUCAAAUAUUGACAACACGAAAUGUUAGCAAGGACAUUGCUAAUUGGAGUGUAAAAAUUUACAGCCACUUUGGAAAACAGUUUGGCAGGUUUUAAAUAAAUAUUUAUCUAUCCUAUGAUCCAAUCAUUGUACCCCCAUUAUUUAUCCAAGAGAAGUGAAACUGUAUGUCCAUAUAAAAACCUGUAUAUGCAGGUACAUAGAAGCUUCAUCCAUAAUAGCCAAAAAAUGGAAACAGGCUAGAUAUUUAUCCAUAGAAGAAUGGAUGAAGAAACUGUAGUAUAUUUAUAUCAUGAAAUACUACUCAGCAAUAAAAAAAGGAAUGAAUUAUAGCUAUGGACUGAAUGUUUGUGCCCCGCCAUUCAUCUGUUGAAGCCCUAACCCCCAGCGUGAUAGUACUUGGUAAUGAGGCCCUUGGGGGAUAGUCGGGUCACGAGGGGCAUCCUCAUGAGGAGGAUUAGUGUCCUUAUAAAAAGAGACAUGAGAGAGAUGUUCUGUCUUGACCAGGUGAAGGUACAGCAAAAAUGCACUGGUCUGCAAACUAGGAAGACGGUUCUCACCAGACAUCAAAUCUGCUGGGACCUUGAUCUUAGAAUGGACCUCCCAGCCUCCAGAUCUGUGAGAGACAAAUACUCAUUGUUUAAGCCACCUAGUCUAUGGUGUUUUUGUUAUAGCAGUCUAACUGCCCAAGAUGACAACUGAUACAUGACAAUGUGAUGUCAAAAAUACUAUGCUAAGUGCAAGAAGCCAGAUGAAAAGAAGAGUACAUACUGUAUGAUCCCUUUAUGUGAAAUUCUAAAUAGACAAAAAUAACCUAUGAAAGAAACAGUUGCUUCUUAGAUGAGAUGUGAGGAUGAACCUAGAACACGAGGGAUUUUUCCAGGGCGAUGGAAAUACUGUGGGUCUUGAUAUGCAUUGCUCAGACUUACUGAACAGUAUACCUAAGAUCUGAAUGUUUCAUCAUACAGAAAUUUUAUCUCAGUAAAAAAAAAUAUUAAAAAACAAUAUAAUUACUUGAUAUUUUAAAAGACCCAAGUUAACUGCCAGAGGUCCAACUGUCACAUCUAUAUUCCAGGUAGUAAAAAGGAAGACAAAUGGAAACGUAAAAAGAAAGACACAUGUUUGCUGUCUAGUUAUUCUUAAGGAGACUCAAAGUCUCACCAAGAACUUAGAUCUAAUUCUCAUUGGACUACCCUAGCUAGAAGUGUGAAAAUAGGCACAUGUGCUAUUUAGCCAAGCACCUUCCAGAUAGAAUAAAAUCUGUAUUUAUAAUACACGAACAAGGCAAGAAAUGAUAUUGGCUAUCUACUGGUAAUUUCGACGACAUUGCAAAAAAAAAAGUGUGCAUGCACACACACAAUUUCAGGGCAUUCGGCUGUUUUCACUGAAUCCCAUUUUAUCUGAAUUUUAUAUUAAAAACCACUAAUCUAGGGAGUUUGAGCAACUGGUUGUUUUAUAUAUAUAUAUAUAUGCAUGGCAUGCAGAAGUUCUUUUGCCCAGAAUUGAACCCACACCAUAGCUCCACAGCUGGAGCCACAUCAGUGACAACACUGGAUCCUUAACCCUCUAGGCCACCAGGGAAUUCCUCACCUAGUUAUUAUUAAAUAGUUAAUGAAAAGUGUGUAGAUGGCAAAUUCACAUGUAAGUGGGCAUUCAGGGGACACAAGAAAAUGCCAUACUCACCUACCUGGAAUAAAUUUUGUUGUCUGUGCCUCCCAAAGGCUGCAAUCUACUAAAUGGUUUGUUCUUAAUUGAGCAGCAUUUAAUUCUUCUGCCAUCUUAAUAUAUAAUAUGUGAAAGUAGGAAGAGAGGCCACUUCACUUAAGUGUACAUUCUACUUAGACACUUGAUUUGAUGACAUUAGUUCACAGGUGUCUCUACUUCAAUUAAUUGCAUAUUGACGAAAUGUGUAAUUUAAACUCAAUACAAAACUGAAGUAUUCGAAUGAUAGUCUCUUCAAUAUAAUUAUUCUGCAUAAGUUGGAGUGCUGACAAAAUGUUGUCCUUUAUUUUUUUAAAUAAUAUCUUCAAGUAUGUUCAAGAUUAGAUAACACAGAAAAUGUCAAGAUAUGACAAAUAUGAAAUGAAAAUAAGAUGAAAACUUUAUAUCUUUAUUGAAUUUUUCCUCCAUAGAUUCACAAAUGGUUUUUCCUUAUGAAAUCAUGUCACAGACAUCCAAUGCCCUGCAUAACUUUUUUUCAGCCUGAUUUGAAGAACAACGGGAAGUACCUUUAAAAAAAGGGCCACAUUUUUUUUAAAAGGCCACAUAAAGACACAGUAUUUUUGCUGACCAGUAAGUUAGAUGUUGAUCUGUAAAAAUAAGCUGACUUCUUUUUAUUGUAAUAGCAAAGAGAAAAUGAAAAUGAUUCAAUUCAACAGAGGAAAUACACAACUUAUUCUAUACACUAUAUUUGAGGACUGACUUAAAUGGCUUUAUUUUUCUUUUAAAUCGACCUCUUGCCAGAGUAGAUAUUGAGGAAAAGUAAAUGCCUGUGUCCUUUCACUAUACCCAGAAUGUGAAAAAUGUCCUUCUAUCACUGAGUCAUUCACAGACAAAGCACCACACUGCUAAAUUAAUAUUUCACAUCCAAUGAUAAUAAACUUAGUUCUAUUCAUUGAGUACCUAGUCAGUGGUGGGGCAUUUACAUACAAUAUUUCUGUGGUUGGCUGAAUAAUGGCUCCCUCAGGUCCUGAUCCCUAGAACCUAUGAAUGCUACUUACAUGGCAAAGGGGAUUUUUGUAGAUUUGAUUAAAUAUAGGAUUUUGAGAUGAGGAGAUUAUCCUGGAUUACCUGGGUGGGUCUAGUGAAAUCAAAAGGUCCUUAAAAGAGAAAAGGCAACCGUGAAGAUGUUGCCAAAAUUCAGCCUCUUUCCACAGGUGCUGAAUUGAAAUGCAGAGACAGAGUUUUGGGUAAAAGAGAAAAAAAGCUUUAUUGCUUUGUCAGACAAAGGGGGCCAUGGCAGGCAAAUGCCUUAAAGACUGUGCCCCCCAUUGGACAGAAUUGUGAGGAGUUGUAUAAUAAGAAGGAGAGGAACAGGUUUUCAGAUAGGAAUCAGGAUAGGGACAAACUUGCAUUCUUCUUUCUGGGAGGGAAUCUUAGUCAUCAAAACUGGAGUCAGGAGAUCUCGACCUAAUCAUGAUGGUGGUCUUCUGGUUUAUUGCCUAGAAUUACAGUACUUGCAAAAAGCGCAUAUUGAUCAGAGAUUUAGAACAAACUAGGAAGGUUCCUGAAAAACAUCAUGUGCUAAUAAUCUUUAACCCAUAGUCAAUUAUGCUCCGGGUGCCUGAUCUUUAGCUUAUGAGUGAUUGUGUUUAGGCUGCAAUUAAGUCAGGGAGAAGGACAAGGAAGGACUCUAAGCUGUUUAGUUUUAAAGUAUUCAUUUCUAAAAGAAGCAUAAGGAAUACAACUUUUCUCUUAGGUGUAUAGGAUGCCUAUAUUUUUAUGCGUUUUCCUUGAGAGGGAAUCAGGAUCCUGCCUCAAGGCUAUACUAUUGUUGCUUGACUGUUCUUCCCUUCCCCAUCAGCACCUGUCUGAACCUGCCCCUAGGAACUCAGGGAAAGCCGUGGAGGCUGAAUGAGGCCCAUUUUCUAAGAACAAGAAAUGGGGGACACAGGCUUCUGCGCCCAGGAGCCCCAUAGGGCCGUGCUCGGUUUCAAAGAUUCAACCAGAGAUUUGAAAAUGUUAUGCUGCUUGAAGACAAAGAAUCCAUGAACCAGAGAGGGCAUUGAAUUCUGACAUACUCUUAGAAGCUGAAAGAGGCAAGGAAUAGAUUCUCCCCUAGAACUUCCAGAAAGAAUCAGGCCUGCUGACACCUUGACCUUAGCCCAGUGAAACUGAUUUUGGACUUUUGGCCUCCAGAACUGUAAGAGAAUAAAUUUGUAUUGUUUUAAGCCACUAAAUAUAUGGUAAUUUUUUACAACAGCAAUAAGAUAGUAAUAGAAUUUUUAAUUUUAAAACUACCCUGGGAGGAUUAUUGCUAAACACACACACAUCUGAUGAGGAAAAUGGAGACUCAGAGAGAGGUUAAAAAAAAAGCGAUUAACUAAGAGUUCCCUGCUGGUGCAGAGGGUUAAGGAUCUGGCGUUGUCACUGCUGUGGCUCUGGCCACUACCAUGGCACAGGUUUGAUCCCUAGCCUAGGGACUUAUGCAUGCUUCGGGCAUGGCCAAAAAGAAAAAAACAAAAACCCCUAAUAACUAGGCAAAUGUACCCAGCUAGGGAAUGGCAGAGAGAAGCAUGGCAUCUAGGUAUAGCUUGAUGCCCACAGAUCAUUUUUCCCUGUCAUACUGGCUCAGUAUGAGCCAUCAAGGCACAUUUCACUUUGUCUUAUUCCAAAAGAUUUUCCUUCUGUUUAGAAAGAAAAGCAAAUCGGUGUCCCAUGUCAUAUGCAUUUCAAAGGGAAGGUAUUUUUCUAAACAAUGAGGUGAUUAAAUCAAAUGUUCGCAAAACCCGAGCCUCUCUUUCCAUGGGGGGCUUUUAUAUACCAAAGUAAACUCCUUUGUCCCUAUAGGUAUGGGAAAUACAAAGCAGCUAUCACCAGUGGAUUCUGAAUGAAAACACCAGGGAGAUGGACUGUAAACUUAAGAGUUCCUCCCUCAUACCCAGUGAAGUCACACUUGCAUAGUUGUGAUCGAGUCUAGCUUCUGCCUGAAAGUUAGUAAUUCUCUGAAGCUUCUUUGUAAUGAAUAUCCAGGCUUCAUAAGAAUUCACCUUUUGCUAACCAAAUAGAAAUUCUAAAGGAAUUUUCCAGAAACAUCAUCUGGGGCUAUAUUUUUUAAUAUUUCAGAAGUGUUGAGUUAAAGGAUGGCUUCAUAAAUCUUAAAGGCAUAGAAUAAAGCAAAUAAUGAAAAAGCAAAAUAUUUUGCUGAACCAUGAUAAUUAUAUCUUCCCAGUAUGUAUUGGGGCUGGGGCGGGGUGUUGGGGGGGAGAGCGGUUAACUUCAAAAUCCCUGGAAGGUUGUAGAUUAUGAGAGAAAUGACCAGAUCAUUUGUGAUUUGCUCUUUAUUCAAAUGAAAUCAUCUAACUUCAUCUACCAGAAAAAUUUUGACAAUUUCAGUGGAUGUAUUUCAAUAAGCUGUUGAAGAAACAUCAGAAAAGUAGUCUUAAAUGAUGCAGAGUAUAUCAGAAUUAGGCUGGUAAAAGAGUGACAUCUUGUGGUAACAAUUAGCAACAAAAAUCCCUAAAGUUAGGAGGAGGCACAUAAAAUGGGGGAAAAAAUAAAAUAAAAUAAAAGCCUUAUUAAAUCUUUGUUCUUGAAGGUAAAAUGAACUUUUUUCAUUUGACUUUUGGCUGUGAGAAAAAAUUCUUGCCUUCUGCUUUAUGAUUCUAUUUCACAAAAGUGUUUAAUUUAGAAAAUUUUAAAAACCCUUGUGAAACUAGACUAGGACAAUGCAAAUAUUUCCUUCUUUAAACUCAUGUUUUAAAACAAAAAUAUUUUAUAUCCAAAAUUCGUGUCACAUGAGAAACUUUGUUUCUUUUCAACUUUGAAUAAAAAUAGAGGAAGCAAGUGUUCCCCUCCAGUGCCUGUGGUGAACGCUCUUGGCAAAUUCACCAACGUUCCUUUCUGCUGACCCCAGCCAUCACCUGCAGAUCAGGUGAGUAGUUCAACAGUCCAGGCCUUCUCUCUGCCAGAGAUCUAUUUCUAGUGCCUGAAAUGAGUCCUGCCUGCCUGCUGGAAAUGCCUGGAAGUUAAAACCCCCAUGAACCAGUUUCAAUUAAGAGGGCAGGGCGCAAAGGAAUAAAAAUACCUUGGUUAUCAGUGGGACAACUCUGAGUUGUGUUCCACAUGUAUUUUCAGGGGGUCCCAGCAGGAUUGUGCUCCAGUUUCCCAUGCUCAGGAAUGUCCCUUUU